CACCGCCGCCCGCACUGCGCCUGCUGCCACAUGCGCCCGUGGCGCCUGCGAGCAUGCGCGCACACGGACGGCGAGGGGAGACGCGACAGCACCCAUCGGUGGAGCUGCGCCCUGUGCUGUGAAGCUCUUGUUUCAGUGCCCUCCCUGCCGUGCCGCUGCAACCGCGCCGCGACGACGGCUGCCACGCUACCGCGGAGGACGGUACCGCCUGAUGCCGACGCGGGCGUCGAGGCCUACCGGCACCGCGUAGCCCGCAGAGCUGACAUCGGCGGCGGCGGCGUCUUGCCGAGAUGCGGAGGCGUGUGCGACGACAGGCGAUGCUGACGCGCUUCUCCUGCCCGCACCGCGUCUGGACCGGCCAGCGGUGGGCUGGGCGCCCCUGCCGUGGCGGCGCGCGAUGGGCGCCGGCGUCGUGCGGCUGCCACACCAUCGCCACGGCCGGGCGCUCCCGUGCUUCGUGGUGCGCGAUCCGGUUGCCUGCGCCGUGGCGAGGCCGCGCACGCCGACGCUGCCUUGCCCGGCGUAUGCCUCGUCCCCGCUGCUGUGGGAGGUGCGGGCGCACGCGCCGCCAAGCGGCUUUGCGCGGAGCUGGCUUGUGAAGGGGCGCGCUGUCCCGAGCACCGUCGGCGCUGGCGAGCUGCUGGCCGCGACCCCGCUGGACCUGACCUUCUCUGCGCUCCAUGAGCUGCUCGGCGAUGCACAGCGCUGCUACCGCGUGGCGCGCACCUUCAUGCCAGCGGCAGGCCUGCACCGGGCCGGGGGCAUGGCCUUCUCAGCUCGCGCCACCGCCACCGCUGCUGGCUGCGAGGCCGCGGCGCCGGUGGCGAGGACUGGCGGUCGCCGAGGUCCGCGUGUGCGCGGCUGACGGCCGAGCUUUCCGCCUGGAGUGGAGCGGAUGACACGCACGUGGGGUGCGGGGGCCCGCACGGCUGGACGGCUGACCCGCGGUCGCGGCCGGCGGCGCCGUCCAUGUGCUCUGCCACGCCUCACGGGUGGGCUGGCUGGGCACGUGCAGCAGCAGCGCGCCCGCUCCUCCUGCGCGGCUGCGUGGGCGUGCCUGAGUCCGACGGCGUGCUGCGGCGGCUGUGCGAGGCCCGUGAAGUCGGCGGCAGCGUCUCUGCGCAGACGGCGUCCUGUGAUGCGCCCGCCGACAGCCGCCACGGUGUGCACCACAGGCCAUCCGAGUCGGUGGCGGUGGGGUGGCUGACGAGACAAGUAGAGCGCGUGCGCGCCUCUGCGGUGCUGCUGCGACGGCGACGGCGGCUGCGCCCGCCGAGGCGUGCGUGGGGGCCGCCAUGGCUGUUGCGCUUGGGGUGGUGGCCGAGUACGUGCCGGUCCGGCUGCACGCGGCUCUUGCGGUGGCCUGCGGUCUCGCCGACCCCGCGGCGGCGCCAGCCUGCUCGCCGACAGCGGCGGCGUGACGCGACUGGAGAAGGCUGGGCAGCGGAAGGGCACGCCCCCUUUGCUGGCCGUGCUCGGCGAGAGGAAGCCGAGGACGGAGGGUGGCGCGACGUGGGGACAGGUGCAGCUGUCCGUCCCGCCCCCGAUGCGGGUGGAGCGCGCUGGAGCCCGUCUGUAUGCGCAUGCGCGCUGCUGCUGUGGCCAGCCUCCCUUCUGCACCGCCGCGUCGCAGGCCGCACCGCUGCGUUGAGACACGGCGCGAGCCGGUGGGUGGGGUGAGGCCGGGAAUGACUUCUGCUUGGCUUGCUUGCGUGCGAGCAUGCUGGCGGGUUGCUGGCUGGGCGGACUCGGCACGGUGCACCCCAUCCCUCCUCCCUGCGGUCGCCUUGUGCCCCCGCUCCCCUCAUCCCUGCGCAUGCGGGGCAGCUUGUGGUGGUGGCAGGGGUAGGCCCCUGCGGCGUAGGGGGAGGCGAGGGCGAUGCGUCGCGGCCGGUGUCGGCGGUGAGGUUGUGGAUGGCGUGGCGCCGGAGCGACGUGCGGCAGUGGACGCGUUUGUGCUGUCCGCAUGGCGGGCGAGGGGUCAACGGGGCUCGGGCGUCUCCCACCCUGCCGUUGCUGCCUGCUGGUGGGGAGCCGGAGCCACGCGAAGGUGGACGCACGGGGUGGCUGCCGGCACGGUGCGCGCUGAUGUGGGGCGACCUGCGUGGGGGAUGGGUGGGCAGAGGCUGUGCAGGGGACCGUGCUCAUGUUGCUGGGCCGCGCGCGGGGGCGGCGCGGGGUGUAGCGUGGCGCCGGCCUGCUGCUGUAGGGCGGAGGCAUGGACGCGUCGAAGGGGAGCUGCUUGCGCUGUGGCAGACAUCGCCACCCCGGGUGCCGCCUGGCACUCGCCGCUGUCCCCAUCUGCCACGUGCGGCCACCCACGCAUGCGGGCGGCGAGCGACAUCGGCACUCAUGAGGGUUUUGUGUCCUGUGCUUCACACCCCCACCGCGCUUGGACAGCGCGCCCAUGCAGCGGUGGGGGCCUCAUGGGCAGAGGGGGUGCCCGCGCCACUGCCUGCUCUCUUGUCCCCGCGUGCCCUCCCUCGGUGAUGGGUGGCGAGCAAGCGAGUGCCCCUCGCCGGCCUCUCCCGCCCCACCGAGCAGCGAGAGACACACGUGAGCCACAACGGUGGCCUCGCCUGUGCUGCCGGCGUGCUGCCGCAUCCUUCCCCCGCGUGUACGCACACACCCGUCCGUGGGCGGUGCCGGCGUCUUGCGCGGCGUUGCUCUGCCGGCCGGCGGACAGCGAUACGCGGCUGCCGCACCCCCGCAGCGGGAAGCGGGGUGGGCCGGAGUCGCUGCCAGCACGGCAAACGCGCGACGGCGCGGAUACGUAAUCGAGGCCCACCUGCUCGUCUCCGAGCGCUGUCGCUGCUCGCUCGGCGGCUGCUUUUCCUUUGCUCUCGUCGACUCUGGCGCAGGGUGGUGAGGGCUGCCACCCGGACACGCCCAGGCUGGCGUGGCUGAAGGCAUCGCCGCUGUAGCCGCAACGGGUACGAGUGCGCGCGAGCAGGCGCAGCAGCAGUGGCGGCUGUGGUGCGGGGGUGGUGUUUCCGCCUCCCCCUCUCGGCGUCACUGGCGCCCCUACCAUGCGUAGCGCGUGGUCGUGCUGCCCGUGCUGCUGUCCUGAACCGUGCUUGAUGCUUGCUCCCACUGCGACGCACUUGGCCACUGCCCUGCCGCUCAUCGUUAUUGGUUUCAUGGAGGUGCUCGUGCCGCGUCGCACAGCACUGCGCGCACACAC
rnacentral:misc_RNA from 1 species